UGGGGAAUUUUGCGCAAUGGACGAAAGUCUGACGCAGCGACGCCGCGUGAGGGAUGAAGGCCUUCGGGUUGUAAACCUCUUUCGGCAGGGAAGAAGCGAAAGUGACGGUACCUGCAGAAGAAGCACCGGCUAACUACGUGCCAGCAGCCGCGGUAAUACGUAGGGUGCAAGCGUUGUCCGGAUUUAUUGGGCGUAAAGAGCUCGUAGGCGGUUCGUCACGUCGGGUGUGAAAACUCAGGACUCAACCCUGAGCCUGCACUCGAUACGGGCGAACUGGAGGACGGUAGGGGAGACUGGAACUCCUGGUGUAGCGGUGAAAUGCGCAGAUAUCAGGAAGAACACCGGUGGCGAAGGCGGGUCUCUGGGCCGUUCCUGACGCUGAGGAGCGAAAGCGUGGGGAGCAAACAGG
rnacentral:rRNA from 1 species